UACAGGCCCGUUCGAAGCUGUCAGGCCAAAUGCCUGUCGUCAGUCAAAGCGCGGCCGACAGCAUUCUUUGAUAUAUGGUCGCACGACGCUUAAUCAAUAUGCGAUCGUGCAUUACCCAUAUCAAAUACAUUU